rnacentral:tRNA from 2 species
GGAGAGGUGGCAGAGUGGUCGAAUGCGUCGGUCUCGAAAACCGAUAUACCCGCAAGGGUAUCGAGGGUUCGAAUCCCUCCCUCUCCGCUA